UAUUUCUCUUAUUUUAUCAUUAAUCCUUAUAUCAAUAAAAUUUGAGAUAACUUAAUAUUUAAUUAAUUAAUGAGCUUGAAUAAGCAUUUGUUUUGAAAACUUAAGAAAGAAUUUAUUUAUUCUAUUA
rnacentral:tRNA from 1 species